rnacentral:rRNA from 1 species
GACGAACGCUGGCGGCGCGCUUAACACAUGCAAGUCGAACGGAAAGGCCUGCUUUCCCUUGUGGAUUGCGGGUACUCGAGUGGCGAACGGGUGAGUAACACGUGAGUGAUCUGCCCCCAACUUGGGUAUAAGCCUGGGAAACUGGGUCUAAUUCCCGAUAGGACUGCAGGGUGGUGCCUGUGGUGGAAAACGAUUUUCUAGUGGUUGGGGAUGAGCUCGCGGCCUAUCAGCUUGUUGGUGGGGUAAUGGCCUACCAAGGCGGCGACGGGUAGCCGGCCUGGGGGGGUGGGCGGCCACAUUGGGACUGCGAUACGGCCCAGACUCCUACGGGAGGCAGCAGUGGGGAAUAUUGCACAGUGGGCGGAAGCCUGAUGCAGCGACGCCGCGUGGGGGAUGACGGCGUUCGGGUUGUAAACUCCUUUCGACCGCGAGGAAGCCACCUGGUUGGAAGGGUGGUGACGGUAGUGGUAGAAGAAGCACCGGCUAACUACGUG